GGCGCACGUUAUGUGAUUGGUGCCUUCUUGCAAGCCUGCAGGGAGGUGAAACGGGAAGCCGGUGCCGCGCGGGAUUGCCAUCUUGCGCCAGUCCGGCGCAGCCCCCGCUGCUGUAAGCCGGACGAAGCUGACCAACGCCACUGUGCACCGCACGGGAAGGCCAGGCCAGGGGAGGAUGAAGGCGAGCCAGAAGACCGGCCAGUCACUUUGAUUGUGC
rnacentral:ncRNA from 2 species